AUGCCCAUCACCGCUUCGUUAUGCCCAUUGCUGCCUCGUUAUGCCCAUCACCGCUUUUUUUUGCCCAUCACUGCUUCCUUAUGCCUAUUGCUGCUUCCUUAUGCCCAUCACUGCCCAUCAUUGUUUCAUUAUGCCCCUCACUGCCUCGUUAUGCCCAUCACAGCUUUUUUUUGCCCAUCACUGCUUCCUUAUGCCUAUUGCUGCUUCCUUAUGCCCAUCACUGCCCAUCAUUGUUUCAUUAUGCCCAUCGCUGCCUUGUUAUGCCCAUCACUGCCUCCUUAUGCCCAUCACUGCUUCAUUGUGCCCAUCACUGCCUCGUUAUGCCCAUUGCUGCCCAUCACUGCUUCGUUAUGCCCAUCACCGCUUCAUUAUGGCCAUUGCUGCCUCCUUAUGCCCAUCGCUGCCUCGUUAUGCCCAUCACUGCCUUGUUAUGCCCAUCACUGCCUCGUUAUGCCCAUCACUGCUUCGUUAUGCCCAUCACUGCCUCCUUAUGCCCAUCACUGCUUCGUUAUGCCCAUCAAUGCCUCCUUAUGCUCAUCGCUGCCUCGUUAUGUCCAUUGCUGCCCAUCACUGCUUCAUUGUCCCCAUCAGUGCUUCAUUAUGCCCAUUACUGCUUCAUUAUGCCCAUCACUGCCUCAUUAUGUCCAUUGCUGCCCAUCACUGCCUCCUUAUGCCCAUCACUGCUUCACUGUGCCCAUCACUGCCCAUCACUGCUUCGUUAUGCCCAUCACUGCCCCAUUAUGCCAUUGCUGCCCAUCACUGCCUCUGCGCAGAGCAAAGCAGCCCCUUUUCGGAGGGCGACCCAAGUCCUGUGACGUCCCACCCUCGCGGUUCUCCUUCUGCACCCCAAAGGAUUUCGGCGCAGAGAGGAGCACAAAGCACACAGAGGAGCCAGGGCUGCUCCGAGCCAAGGCUGCCGUGAGCCAGGGACACCGAGCAGCUCACCCUGAGCCAAGGCUGCCGUGAGCCAGGGACACGGAGCGGCUCCCCCCGCGCCAGGGCGGCCCCUCGUGUGCUCCUGGCUGUGCAAGGCUGCCGUGAGCCAGGGACACCGAGCAGCUCACCCUGAGCCAAAGCUGCUAUGAGCCAGGGACAUGGAGCGGCUCACCCCGAGCCAGGGCGGCCCCUCGUGUGCUCCUGGCUGUGCAGCACAGCCCCGCACGGAGCGCAGCACAUCGGCCUCGCAGCACAUCGGCCUCGCACGCUCAGCACAGCCGCUAAGUGCUUCCACAUGGCGCCCGCAGGCUGCAGACGGACGUCCAGCAGCACGGCAGCACGGCGGCUGCCAGCCCUCCCCGCCUGCCCCGAUGUUGUAAGAAGAAGCUGCUGACUCCAAACGGCCCCAGCGUCUCCUCCGGGGCGCUGCGGGGGAUUCCUUCCAUCAGCAGAGGGCUUGCAGUGGGACAGGGAGGGGAUCGUCCCUAUCAACUGUGCCCCAACUGCAGCACUGCACCCAGGAGCGGGGGUCCCAGCACAAGAAAGACAGGGAGCUGUUGGAGAGGGGCCAGAGGAGCCACAGAGAUGAGCAGGGCUGCAGCACCUCCCUGCAAAGACAGGCUGAGGGAGCUGGGCUUGUUCAGCAUGGAGAAGAGAAGGCUGCGGGGUGAAUCAUUGCAGCCUGCAGUACUAAAGGGAGCCCAAAAACAGGAGGGGAGUCAGCUCUUGGGAAGGGGAGAUGAGAGCAGGACGAGGGGAAAUGGCUGGAAUGGAGGGAGGGCAGAUUUCAGUUGG
ensembl:lncRNA